AUUGAACGCUGGCGGCAGGCUUAACACAUGCAAGUCGAGCGAGUGGCGGACGGGUGAGUAAUGUCUGGGAAACUGCCUGAUGGAGGGGGAUAACUACUGGAAACGGUAGCUAAUACCGCAUACCAUCAGAUGUGCCCAGAUGGGAUUAGCUAGUAGGUGGGGUAAUGGCUCACCUAGGCGACGAUCCCUAGCUGGUCUGAGAGGAUGACCAGCCACACUUGAACUGAGCCACGGUCCAGACUCCUACGUGAGGCAGCAGUGGGGAAUAUUGCACAAUGGGCGCAAGCCUGAUGCAGCCAUGCCGCGUGUAUGAAGAAUGCCUUCGGGUUGUAAAGUACUUUCAGCGGGGAGGCGUUACUCGCAGAAGAAGCACCGGCUAACUCCGUGCCAGCAGCCGCGGUAAUAC
rnacentral:rRNA from 1 species